UCCAGCUUAACGCUAGCAGUCCCUCCAGAGUGCCCAACUUAAUGAUGGCAACAGGAGGCGUGGGUUGCGCUCGUUACGGGACUUAACCCAACAUCUCACGACACGAGCUGACGACAGCCAUGCAGCACCUGUCUCUUUGCUAUCCGAAGAUAGAAGCCGACUUUCAUCGGUUGUCAAAGGAUGUCAAGACCAGGAUAAGGUUCUUCGCGUUGCGUCGAAUUAAACCACAUGCUCCACUGCUUGUGCGGGUCCCCGUCAAUUUCUUUGAGUUUUAAUCUUGCGACCGUACUCCCCAGGCGGGAUGCUUAACGCGUUAGCUUCGUUACUGAAAGGGUUAACUCUUCCAACAACAAGCAUCCAUCGUUUACGGCGUGGACUAC
rnacentral:misc_RNA from 1 species